rnacentral:tRNA from 1 species
GCCUAGUUAGCUUAGUUGGUAGUGCGUCUGCCUUGUAAGCGCUAGGCCGUGGGUUCGAGUCCCGCCCGGGGCG